CCCUUAGAUGUUCUGGGCCGCACGCGCGCUACACUGAUGAAUGCAACGAGCUCUACCCUUGACCGAAAGGCCCGGGUAAACUUGUGAAACUUCAUCGUGAUGGGGAUAGAUUAUUGCAAUUAUUAAUCUUCAACGAGGAGUUCCUAGUAAGCGCGAGUCAUCAGCUCGCGUUGAUUACGUCCCUGCCCUUUGUACACACCGCCCGUCGCUCCUACCGAUUGAAUGGUCCGGUGAAAUCUUCGGAUUGCUGACCAAGAUCCAGCAAUGGAGCUUGGUUGCGAGAAGUUGAUUAAACCUUAUUAUUUAGAGGAAGGAGAAGUCGUAACA
rnacentral:rRNA from 1 species